GUGCCUGCUUCACGACAUGAAUGAACACCAAGAGAAAGUAAAACCCAACAGACCUAACCCUGAGAAAACACUCAUUUUUUUAUGUUUACACACCAGGCUGGGGUCAUCUCUGGUGUGUGUACACAAAAGUGAAAGCUGAACUUUGCUCCAACAAGACUGACUUUGUUUGGUAGUCAAAUAAAAAAAAACCUAAAUGUUGGGAAAUGACAAAUUCUGCUGCCUUGUCAUCAAAACCGGCUGUUGACCUUUUCUUCUUGUUGCUCAACAUCUUUAAUUCCCACCCUGAAAACAUGACAUCCGUCUGUCAGGCACAGGGCUGCUGCGAUCUGAACCAUCCUGUUCGGCGUGCUUAAUCUGAUCAGUACUUUCUAAAAUCGAUGUGACUAUUAUGUAUUUAUAUUGUUAAAAUGUACAAAAGUACACAUUAAUUUGCAACAUUGAAUUAUAAAUGUUUCCUGAUCAGCUGAGAACUCACAAUGGCAGGAAUCCUCUGAACAUUUAUUCCUUUGAAUGUUUAGAUUCAUAUAUAAAACUAAAUAUAGCAUGACAACCUCACAAGUACAGGACAGUCUGGAAACUACAUGCAGGAAGGGUUUAACUGACUCAAGUGCAGCAACAUUAUAACGAAAAAAAAGAGAGAAGUACUCAAAAAUGCUUCUGCAAUCCGGUACAACAUAAAGGAUAAAAUGGACAUUUUUAGGACGGAUCAACUUUAUUCCACAACAAAUGCUACAAGCACCAGUUUGGUUAGUUGCGAAUACCAGCCAGACUACACACAACAAAUAAAAAUCUCAUAACUUCCCAAUAAAAUGUCAGCUGAGUGAUGGAGAGACACAAACACAAAAACUUUGAAAUUUUGACCAAUUAAUAUCAGAAGAAUAUCAGCAUGCAAACAUGGUGCACAGCAAUUUAGACCUAUUAAUCUAAUAUGCAGGGUUUUGGAACCUUUUUGUAUUAUAUAAAAUAAAAAAAAUUACAUGCAGGUUCUGGUACUCAAGAACAAUACAAUAAAAAUUAGUAGAAAUUAAUAACAUCACACCAAAUUUGGGCAAUUCUUAUGACAUAAAACCUUGUAAACCAUCACAAACUAUAGGACCAAUAGCCUUACUGUCAUUUGUUCAUUCAGAAAAGGUAACUAGAGGCUGGUAGAGUAACUAGAACUUGUACUCAACAGUAAAAAGUGUGGUGCAGUAAAACGCCUCCUAAAAGUACCUUUUUUCCCCAAAUACAACUAGUUGCUACGUACCUCUGGUUACGAACAGACAGAAACACGUCCUCUGCUUAAUUGUGUCUCAUUUACUGUAAAAUAUGAAAUGACAAUCUGAACUGAAUCUGGAAACUACUUGGGUCUGCAAAGCUAAGUUGUGUGGCUGGACAAAUGUUCCAGAUUCACAGUGUUCAGCGUUUAUCACUAGUGGUGGAAGGAGCAGUGGUGAACUGGUGACAGGGUCAAUGGAAGAGCGAAGGCCGGGUAUACCGCCCGAUCCAAUAGAUUAUCCACUGUUGAUCAGUUAUUUUAAUAUAUUAAUGCUGAUUCUCUGAGUAUGGACCCUAAGGUUCCCUAAAAAUUGGUUUCUACGCAGCAGCUACUUUCUCAUGCACACCAGAGAAUGAUGUGACAACACAUAAAUAACCUUUUGAUACAUAUCAUUCUGUAUAAUCAUCUGAUUCAGGAUAUUGCUUGGUUGGGUACCACUAUCAUCUGGUGUGCAUGAGAAACUACAUUUUUAUUUGUUUACUUCUCUAUACACUGUAAAUUAGAAAGGUGAGAAAAUACACAAAGCUUUUCCAGGGUAUCCAUGAUGGUCACGAUAUUAUGCCUGAUCAGUGUCUAUUCCCCAUCCUUUUAGUCGAUUAAUUAAUUAAAUCAUUGCUUUGUCCAUUAGCUGCACCUUUAAAUUUGAUU